ensembl:lncRNA
CUAGCUGCCUGCUCUGAUUUCCGCCACUGUCAGAUACAUUGUCUAAAGCGAUGUGUUCUCUCAAUUGUGGCAUUCAGUUGGGCCAUUUUUGUUUUUCUCAGUGAUAGUUGUUUUUUAUCAUUAUGGACUUGGGAAUCCAGCAAGACUUUGUGGUUUCACCGCUCUUUGUCCCACCUAUGUCCUGGCUUCAUUCUAGGCACAAGACUGAGCAAUACUGCAGUCUAAUUCCCUCACUUCCCAGCAAACUUCUUUCUCGGUCAAUAUGUUUCCAUGGAGAUCAAAUUGUGUGAGGGCUAGCCUGUGUUUUCCAAAAAGAACUAAAUUUACAUGAAAAAAAAGACCAGAAUCCUGGUGUGUGCAGCACUGCAGCAGUCUGAACCCAAGUUACACAAUUAAGAGUCGUCUUAUUGGGCAUUGCACUCUUGGUCACAGGUGUCUGUACCCCAGAGCAAGGGUUGGAAAAGACCUCCAAGAUCAUCCAGUCCAGCCAUCCACUUACCACCAGUAUUUCUCCACUAAAUCAUAGAAUCAUAGAAUCAUAGAAUUGCUCAGGUUGGAAAAGACCUUCAAUAUCGUCAAGUAAACUGCAACCUAACCAUACUACCUGAACUCUAACAACCCACCACUAAAUCAUGUCCCUGAGCACUACAUCCAAACAUCUCUCAGUACAACAUCUAAACAUAUCUUGAACACCUCCAGGGUCGGUGACUCCACUACUUCCCUGGGGCAGACCCAUCCAGCACCUGACCAUUCUUUUGGAGAAAAAAUCUUUCCUAAUGUUAAACCUGAAUCUCCUCUGGCACAACUUGAGGCCAUUCCCUCUAGUCCUAUCCCUAGACAGACAGGAGAAAAGGAUGACCUCCACCUCACCACAACAUCCUUUCAGGCAGCUGUAGAGAGUGACAAGGUCUCCCCUGAGCCUUCUCUUCUCCAGACUAAACAAUACCAGUUCCCACAGAUGCUCCCCAUAAGACUUGUGCUCCAGGCCCUCUACAACUUCUCUGGACAUGCUCCAGGGCCUCGAUGUCUUGGUUAUCUGUUUAUCCACCUGUGUAAUAAGAAAAUAUUCACUAAAAGAGGCUUUUCCCCCCAUACCAUUCCUGAUUUCUCUUCCAUGUAGCUAAAACAGUCACAGAAUCUCUACUGAUUACUGAUAUAUCAAGCUCCAUAUAUACCAUCAUUUGUGAAUUUCAGCCACAAAAAACUGUGCUUGUUUUUCUAAUUGUUUUGUUUUUGAAAGCCAGAAGAUCCUAUUUUAUGUGAAAAGGCACUGAAGUAAAACAGACUAGGAAAUGUCUUGUGGACCGUAUCUGAGAAAGAAAAAGACAGAAUUUCUUCUCUGAGCUCACAACAGUAUUUGAUGAACAUAUUAUGAACUCUUCCACAAAACCUACAGAUUCCUGACACUGGUUCUCAAGUGACAUGAAUUCAGCAUGAGCAGUGAUUCCUAAGAUUUUGGAAGAAAAUAAAAUCCUUUGGGAAUUUUUCAGUAAAUCAAUUUAAUGUUAUGAAAACCUCUGAAGGAGACAUGGAACAGACUGAAAACAGAAAACAAAAAUGGAGAAAGACAAGAACAAAAAAAGAAGAUGAAGGAAAUUCAAAACAUGAACAAAGGAGUAGAUUGAGAUAUAAAACAACAGGAAGAAGGGCAAAUAUUAAGUGAACUACAGACAGAAACCAGAGGAUGUCUGGUCAUUAUGGGAUUAUAAAAAAGCAAGAAUUGCACAGAAGGAGCACAAGAAGCUGAAAAUAAGGAUGGUGCUCUGAUUCAUUUGAGAUCGCUGUCAAAAUGUCAGUUGAUAGCAGAAUUAGGCUGUAAGUUCAAAAGAAAAAAUACACAUAUGCUGAUGCACAUAGAUACACAUAUAUGUUAUACACAAAUAUAUACAUAUAUAUACACAUGUAUGUAUGUGUGUAUAUAUAUACAUAUAUAUGUGUGCACAUAUAUAUUUAUAUGUAAAGAGUAAUAGAAAAGAUUAUGUAUCUUCUUACAGUGUGGUUAUAAAACAGUGCAGUUGUAAUGAAGACACGUCUGAAUAUACUCAAAAUGUCUUAACUGAGUCCAGAUUGUGACCUGACAAGAACAGCAUAUAUAGAUUUAACAUUGUCUUCCAGAAAAAUGGUAUGUAAUGUGUGUUAAAAAAUCUUGUGUAGAGGAAAAAAUCUACAUUUUAGAAUCAAUAUUCUCUUUUUAAAAG